rnacentral:rRNA from 1 species
GACGUAGGGCGCGAGCGUUGUCCGGAUUUAUUGGGCGUAAAGAGCUAGUAGGCGGCUUGUUGCGUCGACCGUGAAAACCCGGGGCUCAACUUCGGGCUUGCGGUCGAUACGGGCGGGCUAGAGUUCGGUAGGGGAGACUGGAAUUCCUGGUGUAGCGGUGAAAUGCGCAGAUAUCAGGAGGAACACCGGUGGCGAAGGCGGGUCUCUGGGCCGAUACUGACGCUGAGGAGCGAAAGCGUGGGGAGCGAACAGG